rnacentral:rRNA from 1 species
GACUUGGGAGAACACGAGAGGCGGUCUAUCAUGCAGUCGAGCGAUGGAUUAAGAGCUUGCUCUUAUGAAGUUAGCGGCGGACGGGUGAGUAACACGUGGGUAACCUGCCCAUAAGACUGGGAUAACUCCGGGAAACCGGGGCUAAUACCGGAUAACAUUUUGAACUGCAUGGUUCGAAAUUGAAAGGCGGCUUCGGCUGUCACUUAUGGAUGGACCCGCGUCGCAUUAGCUAGUUGGUGAGGUAACGGCUCACCAAGGCAACGAUGCGUAGCCGACCUGAGAGGGUGAUCGGCCACACUGGGACUGAGACACGGCCCAGACUCCUACGGGAGGCAGCAGUAGGGAAUCUUCCGCAAUGGACGAAAGUCUGACGGAGCAACGCCGCGUGAGUGAUGAAGGCUUUCGGGUCGUAAAACUCUGUUGUUAGGGAAGAACAAGUGCUAGUUGAAUAAGCUGGCACCUUGACGGUACCUAACCAGAAAGCCACGGCUAACUACGUGCCAGCAGCCGCGGUAAUACGUAGGUGGCAAGCGUUAUCCGGAAUUAUUGGGCGUAAAGCGCGCGCAGGUGGUUUCUUAAGUCUGAUGUGAAAGCCCACGGCUCAACCGUGGAGGGUCAUUGGAAACUGGGAGACUUGAGUGCAGAAGAGGAAAGUGGAAUUCCAUGUGUAGCGGUGAAAUGCGUAGAGAUAUGGAGGAACACCAGUGGCGAACGCGACUUUCUGGUCUGUAACUGACACUGAGGCGCGAAAGCGUGGGGAGCAAACAGGAUUAGAUACCCUGGUAGUCCACGCCGUAACGAUGAGUGCUAGUGUUAGAGGGUUUCCGCCCUUUAGUGCUGAAGUUAACGCAUUAAGCACUCCGCCUGGGGAGUACGGCCGCAGGCUGAACUCAAGAAUGACGGGGCCCGCACAGCGUGAGCAUGUGUUUAUCGAGCACGCGAGACUUACAGUCUGACAUCGUCUGAACCCUAGAGAUAGGCUCUCUCGGAGCAGAGUGACAGUGUGCAUGUGUCGUCAGCUCUGUCUGAGAUGUGGUAAGUCCGCACGAGCGCAACCUGAUCUAGUUGCAUCAUAAAUUGGCACUCUAAGGUGACUGCCGGUGACGAACCCGCAGAAGAUGGGAUGAGUCAUCAUCAUGGCCUUAUUGACCUUGGCUCACACGUGCUCCAUGGAGUGUUCCAAGGUUCGACGUCAAGUGGACUAUGUCUCUGAACCGCUCUCGUAUUCCGAAUAUGUAUAAGCGUGCA